rnacentral:rRNA from 1 species
UCUUGGCUCCCUCUAAAAUGAUACAUGCAAGCCACUUGGCAACACAGUGAGUAAUCUUUCAUUUGUCCUAAAAAGAAACAAGUCUACCAACCAAGGUAUCAGAUUAUACACUUAAUUCAAAAACACCUAGUUAUCCCACACCUGCAGUACCCAAUAUUAUACAAUAAGUAAAAGCUUGAUAUAGUUAUAUACCUGAGAGUUGGUUAAUUAUGUGCCAGCCACCGCGGUUAUACAUAAGACUCAAACCAAGAAACUAUCGGUUUAAAAGUGACUAGGGUAACCUCACUUUAAGGAAGAAAAUUACUCUAGUAUUAACAAGCUUUCACAGUAAACUAAUUACAAUUAGAAUACCUCCUUAAAACUUCUUCGCACCCAAAACACUAAAGCUCAAAAAUAAACUGGGAUUAGAUACCCCACUAUAUGAGUCGUAAAAAACCAAAAUACCAGAGA